CCGGCAGCCGCGGCUCGCGUUUGCUCCUUGGUUCUUUCGCGUCCUCCCUCUUCUCCCCGUGGCCACCGCGUUGGCGCUGCGCCCUCGCGGUCUCUCUCUGCCUUUUUGCCUGGAACGGAAUCCAGGUGGGGAACAGGUCGGCGUGCGGAAAAGCCCCGAGUAGGUAGAAAUAGGCAAACUCACCGAGACGCAACAGGUCCGGGGCUCGGUGGCGAGCGAGCGGCCGCCCCUCCAGCGCCUCGCCCGCCGUCCCCUGGACCCUGCGCGGCCGCUCUCGCGGACCUCAGAAGGAGCGUUGGUCCUCUAAGGGGCAAGGAGGGCGUCUGACGGCUUCACUGGGGUUUUUACCGAACUGCUGGCAGUCCCCGGACUGCGAGUGCUUGUCGCUCCCGGCUGGGAGGGAGAAGACAGGAGGAUGGUCCCCGCCUGCGGGGCUCGGCGCUGAGGAGAGCGGGGUCCGUCUCCGCGCCCCGGCUCCCACUCCGCCAACUAGUUGUGCAGCCACCAGCACUGAACUUCGGAGGAACCGUCCCUUUUCUUUCCUUUUGAGAUUAUUGGAAGUGGUAGAGGGUGCGAGGCGAAGUCGAGGAGCCGACCCGCCACGAUGCUGGUGAAGAAGCAUGCGGGGAAAGGAGGGGGCCGGGAGCUGGGCGUCGAGGACAGAAGCCCCGCCGAGCAGCGCUGUGCCCGGACCGUGCCCCCGUGCGCGGCCCUGACGGCCCUCCUAUCAGUGGUGGCCGUGAUGUCUUGUCUGUACCUGGGGGUGAAAACCAACGACUUGCAGGCGAGGAUCGCCGCUCUCGAAUCCGCUAAGGGAGACCCUUCCAUCCGUCUGCUGCCUGAUUGCCUGGACCAGCUGAAAGCAGUGGUGCAAGAGAAAGUGGAGCGACUUCUGGCUCAGAAGUCCUAUGAACACAUGGCUAAAAUAAGAAUUGCAAGAGAAGCUCCUUCUGACUGCAACUGCCCGGCAGGCCCUCCGGGGAAACGAGGUAAGAGGGGCCGAAGAGGAGAAUCUGGUCCUCCUGGUCAGCCUGGUCCUCAGGGUCCACCUGGUCCAAAAGGUGAUAAGGGAGAACAAGGUGAUCAGGGACCGCGGAUGGUGUUUCCUAAAAUCAAUCAUGGGUUUCUCUCUGCUGAUCAGCAGCUCAUUAAACGCCGCCUGAUUAAGGGUGACCAAGGGCAGGCUGGCCCUCCAGGACCUCCAGGCCCUCCAGGCCCAAGAGGGCCUCCUGGGGACACUGGGAAAGACGGCCCCCGUGGAAUGCCAGGAGUGCCCGGUGAACCAGGGAAACCAGGAGAACAAGGCUUGAUGGGUCCUCUGGGGCCUCCAGGACAAAAGGGUUCUGUUGGAGCACCUGGAAUUCCAGGGAUAAAUGGGCAAAAGGGUGAGCCCGGGUUGCCUGGAGCAGUAGGACAGAAUGGAAUACCGGGGCCAAAGGGAGAACCUGGAGAACAAGGAGAAAAGGGAGAUGCUGGAGAGAAUGGCCCCAAAGGUGACACAGGCGAAAAGGGUGACCCUGGAUCGUCUGCUGCAGGAAUUAAGGGAGAACCUGGAGAAUCUGGUCGUCCAGGGCAAAAGGGUGAACCAGGGCUGCCUGGCCUUCCUGGACUUCCGGGGAUAAAGGGAGAACCAGGUUUCAUUGGUCCUCAAGGGGAACCAGGCUUACCAGGGUUACCAGGAACAAAGGGUGAACGUGGGGAGGCAGGGCCUCCUGGAAGAGGCGAGCGAGGGGAGCCUGGAGCCCCCGGACCAAAGGGGAAACAAGGUGAAUCGGGAACUAGAGGCCCAAAGGGGUCAAAGGGUGAUCGUGGAGACAAAGGGGAUUCUGGAGACCUGGGACCAAGGGGUCCACCUGGUCAAAAGGGAGAUCAAGGAGCCACCGAGAUCAUAGACUACAAUGGCAACCUCCACGAAGCCUUGCAGAGGAUGACCACCCUGACCGUCACGGGUCCCCCUGGACCGCCUGGACCGCAAGGACUGCAAGGCCCAAAGGGAGAGCCAGGAUCUCCAGGAAUCCCAGGAGCCGAUGGAGAGCAGGGGCUCAAAGGCUCAAAGGGAGACGUGGGGGACCCAGGCAUGCCAGGUGAAAAAGGAGGAAUUGGACUUCCUGGAUUACCGGGUGCCAAUGGAGUGAAAGGGGAGAAAGGAGACUCCGGGCUGCCAGGUCCUCAGGGUCCUUCUAUCAUAGGCCCACCAGGCCCACCAGGUCCCCAUGGCCCACCAGGCCCCAUGGGACCCCAUGGACUUCCUGGACCAAAGGGAGCAUCUGGCUUAGACGGAAAGCCAGGAUCCCGGGGUACAGAUGGCCCUAUGGGACCCCAUGGCCCUGCGGGUCCCAAAGGAGAAAGAGGUGAAAAAGGAGCUAUGGGAGAGGCUGGACCCAGAGGGCCCUACGGUCUGCCUGGGAAAGAUGGAGAGCCUGGUCUCGAUGGCUUCCCUGGUCCACGAGGCGAGAAGGGUGAUCUAGGAGAGAAGGGAGAAAAGGGAUUCCGUGGCGUUAAGGGGGAAAAAGGGGAGCCAGGCCAGCCUGGCCUGGAUGGGCUGGAUGCCCCUUGCCAAUUGGUACAGUAUUUCUCUUUCCUACCACCCUGCAUGCAGUUCCUUUGUUUAUUACGUCUUCAUCUCGAUCAGUGUAAAGUGCUGCUUCUGGAGCGGGCUUUACAUGACGAACACAUGACAUGCAUGUGCAUGGAUGCUCCUUCAGCGCCCUGCAGUGAAGAGAGCAGGCACGCAUUUCUGCCACUGCCUGCCAACUAAUCUCCUGACACUGUUCUCACCACCGUCACGACCACCACGUCUGCGUUCUGGGGAAUAUUCACUUAAUCAAUAUUUAAAGAUUACGUUAAAAUCACAUAAAUAUCUCCCAUGUAAAGGCACAGCUAGGCCAUUACUUUGGAUUUUACUCCUAAGUUAAACUUUUUAAAAAUUUUUCUCUAAAAGAUAUAAAGGCGUUUUGCCUCUUCCGCUGAAUUUCUGUCAGGCUGUAAAUAAAAACCUAGAGAGUCAAGCCUCUGUGGUCAAGAGUUAACAAUUCAAAGGAAUGCUGUUAAGAGACCCGUAGAGAAGCAAGCCAAACUUCCCUGAGCUUCUAAAGAUGAUGAGUCUGCAGCCCAAACCCUCUUCUGUAUCACGUAACCCUCUCAAUUUAAUGGUCUCUCCUUUUGAAACUCACUCUCCUAAAGUAGACAGAACCCCUGUCUCCAUUGGCAUGAACUCAAAAUCCUCCUUAUACUAAAAUCUAAAAUUCUAUUGGGUGAUCCUUCUCCUUGUACCAAUCUGGCAUUACCGAAUUUCUUCCCAAAUAUAUUAUAAAGCUAUUUCAAAGUGUUUUCUUUUUUACAUUUAAAAAGAAAGUAUAUUCAUAUUUUCAUUUCAUAUAAAGGAAAUUUCAUAUUUCACAUGUCUUUCACAUAACGGAAAACUUUCUAUGGCUGUGUUGAUGGUUAUACUUGGUCUGCAUGUUAUAUUAUUCUUCAGUGCUAAGCAUGAUUCUUUAAAGAUGAAUUUAUGUUUCUCGAGUCUUUUAAGAGAUUAUAUUUAUAGAAAAAAUUUAUCCAGUCAAUAAUUACAAUUAGAAAAUCUCAAUAUGAAGUGCCCAGUGUUUUAUUUUGUUUGCCUGGUAUUGAUAAUAAGUAAUAUUUUACAAUCGUUUUGUUGAGGGGGAGCAUAAGCAUGCCUCGUAAUAUAGCGACUCUUCCUGCUUCAUUCGUACCAUUUGUAUCUGAAGAGAGCUCACUGUAAAUGAAAAUAAAUUUUGCAAGAUUUAGGAAUCUCUUGGUUAUUCAUAAUUUGUUAACUGGCUUCUGAAGAAUUUUAAUAGAAAAAUUGAUGAAUGCUAUGGAUAACAUUUUACUAUAAAGAUGUAAAGAGGCCUGCCUAUCUUUUAAUUCAAUUAAUUGAAUAUGUUCUACCAAAUCUGCUUUCAGUAUAGAAAGAGGAAAGAUACUGGCAUGUGAAGAGCUAUAAACUUCAGAUAGAAAUGGCUCAUCACUGAUGAUUUAUCAUUAUCGUGCCUUCAACCAUAGACCACAGUGACCAGGAAGAGAUGUUGUUUCAGUUUGUUUAGUAAAGAUAAUUGUGGAAUGUGUUUUAAUGAAAUUAAGAGGACUAGUACAGAUUUACUAUCUAAAGGUGGAACUGAGUAGACCACAAUGCUUUGUAAAUUACUAUUUCAAAGUUAGGCAUAAUUUUUUUCUAUACUUUAUGUAUUUUCAAAAGGUGUGCUCACUCUGGAAAACAUUUAAAUUUUCUUCAUUUUAACUAAUGUUGGGCAUUCUAUUGGGAGUUGAUAAUUAGAAAAAGAUGCCUAGUGGGUAGAAGUCCAUUUGUUAGGCCUCUGAGCAUGUGAAUUAUGAAGUAUGAUCACUGUCGUGGAGCCUAAGGAAUUCUUAUUCUCCUCUUUGAACCAGGGGCCAGAUGGGUUACCCAUGCCUGGCUGUUGGCAAAAGUGAUGAAUCUAACUUUCCGAGCAUGAAGUUGUGUAUAUAAUGGUCCACUUUUUAUAUUUAUAGUUGAAAACUGAAUUGCAGAUUUUACAAGUCUGAGAUAUGUUUACAUAUAGCUGCUUCCUGUUGGCAGUAGAACAUAUGUCCAUCUCUUCUUCACUUACAUCUGAAAUUGGGCAAUAUGUGAAACCAGUGAGAAGCCUGCAAAAAGUAUAGAUCAGUGUCUCUAUAUCUUAUGUGAGAUGUGUAUUGAUAAGGACAUAUCAGCAAUAGAGAAUGAUUGUUCUUGCUAUUUUCUUACUUUGGGCUUGUUAAUUGCAUGGACAAAAAGUGCCAUGAAGUAGUUUACAUGAAAUUGUGACCAAAUAUGGACUCAAAACUAUGAAAAUGUACUUACAAUACUGACCGAUUUUAGAGUCUAUCAUCACAUCCCUCCUCUCCUUCACUGUUAGCAUUGAUGCCCACACCACCCACUGAAACUGACUAAAAAGCAUGACUGUGUGCCACACCCACUCCUUGUUGUGCACCUUCAGAUGCUAGCAUGCCCUUGAUGAGUCCUGUGAUCACAUCUGAGCUCUUAUUUCUUUUGUCAUCUCAAGGGGGUUACACCAUGGCUGAUUGCCAAAAAGAGAUAAGGUGGCGGAGAGCACACACUCAAACAGUCUUGUAUUUUGAGGGAGUUGCAGUCCCCGACUGCAGAUCUACAGCUUCCGGUGUUGUGGCUCACGGGGCCACCUUGGUUGAAAUAUCAAGAGGUUCAGCUGGUUGCCACGGCCAGUUUUCCUUGGGCUGCCCUUGGCAGUGAAGACAAGGGAAGAGGACCAGGUCAGCAUCCUGCGCUGUAUCUCCUGUGACCAAGUAAGAAGGAGGAUUACGACUGCAGGCACCCAGGAGGGCAGACUUUUUUUUUUUUUUAAUAAACUGACUUCCAGCAAUGUUAAUAUGGGUGCUUUUGGAAAAUGACGGAGGCAUAUAGCACUGCUUUGGGGUAGGGGGUUCCUGGAAUGGCGGCCCCUGUUGCUGAGGACGAAGAGUAUGUACAUCCCACCAAAGCUCAGGUUGCUGAAGAAAUAACAAGUCCCAAGAAGGGCUCAGCUGAAAUAAUGUCUCCUGAAAAUGGAUGAGAACAACUCCUACAAUCUCUUCCGGAGCUGACGUGAGACCAUCCCUGCCUUCCAAGAUCCAACCCAUUUCAGACAUUUUUUACAAUGUUCUAGAAACAGAAAGAUGUUUUCCAUUCUUUUGAGUGCUUUUCCUUUUUAGUCCCAGGAAUGUUAGGAAAAGAUUUAUUUCAGUUUUCAUCACAUUUGUUUUGAACAAAUUUUUUUUAAAUCAAGUCUUCAAAUCCUAAUAACUUGGUCCCAACCAUCAAGAUGACCUUUUACUAACUCCUGUUCUGAAUGAUUGAAAAGAAUAUAAACCAAACUCCACUUUCAGUUCAGUCAUUGUAAAGCAUCAAAGUUAAGCAAUUUUUUCAGUACUUACUUUUUGACUUUUCUCAUAUGAUGACUAUAAUGCACAUAGUGAUGAUCAGUUAAGAUAAAAAUCAAGAUUUGGUUACAUUUGAUAGUAUUAAUUCAUUUCUAUUUUUUGUAGUUCUAUUUAGAUCUAAGUUUUGUCUAUAUUUAGAUUUCUUUAUCUUUUUUUACAUUUCUAAAUGUUUGUCUUAUGCACAGACCAAAUCUGAGAUCUCAGAAAGCUGUGAAAUAUAGUUGCCAUAAAGAGAGUAUUUUUUUCAUCUACUUGCUCAAAAGUUACCUAACUGUAUUAGACUGAGCAUUUUGCACAGAAAAGAGUUGGUAGGAUGUUUUCAAAUGGCUCAUUCGAAGUGGAAUGGUUGCAUUAGGAGAAACAUUAUCAGUGAGGAGCAGUCACACUUUCCGCUCAUGGGACAAUAUAAUUUCCCUCCUGACUUAAUGCCAUUUUGUGGGAAAUUUUCUAGUUUUAUGCAUAGGUUUUCACCACCAGAGGGGACAUCAGCUCAUCAUUGGCUUGCAGCAACAAUAGUUAAGAUAGAAGACAAGAAGCCUAAGACCCUAUGAUCUCUUUCAUGUUAUAUAACCGAAUGUUCAAUUAUACAAAAUGCCUUCUUAUUUCCAUUAAGUUUUCAAGAUUGGAAAGAUGUUCAAACCAUUCGAUCAAUCUAAUUAGUAACAUUUCUAGUAACAUUCCACACUCUGAAGACAAUUUAGCAUUUUUAAAACAACAGAGGGCAUUUUCUGACCAUUUCUGUUGUGACAUGGUUAAGAGAAGGUAUUGUUUAGUGUCCGAAACAACUUGUCUUAAGCAAUUUGAAGAAAUGAACUAAAGGGGGUAAAACUAGUCUCUUCAAGAAAACAAACAGUGGUGUCUUGAGAAAAAUCUGGUGGCUAUAUUUCUUCCUACCUGUCUGUCUUUCUACUCCUCUAGUAGAAAGAGGGAUGGAGAUAGAUCACUAUUUAAAACUUGCACAGCUUCAAAAGAGAAUACCUCAACAUCAAAGAGAAACAUUUUAUGGACAAAAAACAUUUUUUUGAACACAGCCCUUUAAGAAUACUGUUUUGUCAUAUGUGUAUAUUGAGUUUUUUGCUCUAUAACUGAUUUGACAACAUUGACUUUUAUUCCGUGAUUAAAGGAAGCUGUAAACUUCCGUUACAUUUAUUUCUUUGGGAAAAACAACAGGGGGAUGGUACUCCUCUUUGUUAGUGGAAUUACCAGGUCUUAACCACCAUGGAUAAUCUUAAACUUUUGGUUACUAAGAUAUGUCCAGCCAUCCAUUUUGUCAUCAAUAUAGAGAAUUCUCAAGUAAUUGAUGAAUGAACUAAUGAAUUAUGUCUGCUGAUAUAUGUGUUGGCAGAUACACAUUUUUCUUAAAGAUUUCUUUCUUUUAAUUUAUAUUAUUGGAUAGAUAGAGGAUUGAGAAAAAAAUACAUGAAAGACACAUUGGAAACCAGUCAAGAUCAGGUUCUGUUUCUGAUAAGCGUCUUUUAAGGAUGCCAAACUGAUAUGGGUUUUAGCUUUAAAAUUGUUUUCCAUUCAGGUUGGUGCUAAUGUAUUUCUUUUCCUUUUCUUUAUGGACAAUGCAACUCUACUAUAGAUAAUUUCAUUUCUCUGUUUAAUAGCAUUCCUAAACUAUUAGUGUGUGAUUUUAUUUUCAUGUAUUUGCUAUAAUGAUGGUUCCAUGACCAGUCUGUCUUGAUGUAAAACAAAACGAAACAGUGUACCUGUAGGUUGAUGUGUGUUUACCUGGAUCGUGGAUCCUCUUGUUUCGUGUUCAUUUCGUAUGCCAUAUGCUUUUCUCAAUUUUCAUUCUCAUCUGUUAGCUUAUAUAAGUUGAUUACGCAUGACAAAACCAGCAUUAGACAAGUCUGGACACAUUCAUAGAGUAUCUGACACAAGUGUGCCCAUAUUUUUCUUCUAGUUUUCAUCUUCAUUAUGAAAAGCAGUCUUGAAGGAUUUUUCUUUCUUAUUUGUUUUUAUAGAAAAAAUGAGAAUAUCUUGAAUUUUUACCAAAAAGAAAAAGUCUGUUCUUGAAUUUACUUUCUGUGCAUGAUGUUCUGAUGGCACAGUAAGAACUUACACAUCCAGUAGUUCAUUCUACAUGUCCUUUGUCUACUGUAUAUAUAUAUAUAUAUAUAUAUAUAUAUAUAAAACUCUAGGUGGGAAAACGGUCAAAUCAGCAUGUCAGUACCUAUGGAAAAUUGUCUGGUAUCUUAUAUUUUUAUCACUUAAAAAAUGUGUUUAAUUUUCCAAGGUGUUUUUUUUCUUUAAUGUUAGUAUCGUAGCAUAAAAAGUUAACACCACUUUUCAUCCUUUUUUUUCCUGCCACUGUGUAUUAUCUUACCCAGAAAUGAGUUAUGCUUGUUUGGUGGGUGGUGUUUUAAUAUCUUCUAAUGAGUGAUCAUAGGAACAUGCAGAUAUUGAUAUUUGAAACCUCGUUUUUCUCUAUUUCUUGAUAAUCAAGUUAUAUUAAUAAUUAACAUUACCAAAAAUGAACUUUUCUAAUUUCUACCAAAACAAAAAAAGAAAAAUCCUGCAGCCUCUAGAAAGUCAAGUCCAUAACAACCUUACCUUAUGUUCUCAAUAAUAAUAAUAAAGAACAAUCACAUGUUGAAAUCAUUCAUUCCUAGUGGAAUUAACAUACUUGACCAAUUAUGAUUCUGCUGAAUUAUUUUCGAAUGUAAGGACUUUCAGUCCCUACUUUUUCCCACUUUUGUUGAAAUAUCUUCAUUUUGGCUAUAUUUACUAUAUGCCAUGCCGUGGCAGAGACACUCUUCCAGCUUAAAUUUUUAGUGGAUUUUGUUUUUGCUGAUCCAAUACUGAAACAUUUUAAUGGCAUUUCUGAUUUUUUCUUUAAAUGUAUAAGAUUCCCUAUGCUGCUUAUUGACAGAACUGUUCUUUUGGAAAUAGGAAGACCUUUUCAACCUGACCUAUUAUGUUUGAUUUAUUGAUAAUUUAACAAAGUAUCAACAUUUCUCAAAAUGCAGUGGAUAUUCUCACAUAUCUCAGAAAUAUUAAGAAAUUGGAUUCACAAAGGAAUGUCUUACAUAUUGUUGACAUUUAUGUGAAUAUUCUUUAUACUGUUGUAAAUGUUUCAUGCCACUUACCAUUUUUAAAAGAUGUAUGUAUCUGAUUUUCCUUUAGAAAAUAUUAUAUUUUUAUUUGUAUUUUUUACAUUUUAAAGUUCAUCUCUAUGUGCAGCUAUUUUUAUAUUGCCAAAAAAUCACGUAAAUACAAAAGAAGAAGAAAAUGCAAAAAAAAAAUAUUUUGGCAAGCAUUACACUGCGUAUUUUUCUUAAUGUUUUAUGGGCCAGUCUCAUGUAACUGAUUAUUCUAAGAAUGUGUUGUGUCUUAUCACUGUAAAUAUGGCACAAACGUGUUUUUCUCCGUAGUGUAAAUAAUUGAAAGGCUGAAUUCUCCCUGUUUGAUUUCUUGCUUCAGUCUCGUGAUAAUUUCUCCAGCUGAUGUUGCCGGAUCAAAGAUGCAUUGUGGUUUUUGGUUUGCAGUCUGGAGAUACUUGCAUUGUGUUCAGUUUCUAAUAUGUUUUGAUUUGCUUUUUUAACUUGUUUUCAGGGUUCCUAGUUUGUGAGAAGUUGAUCUUCAGAAUUAUUUUUACACUAUUUAUGACUUAUUUUCAUAAUGUAAAAAGUGUGUAAUUAUUACAAUAUUAAUCCAAACAAUGGUAAUGAAUUGUAUUGUUAUAAAG